CGGGAUCUGUUUUGAGUUCGGAUCAUCCUACACCCGUUCAUUCGGAUCUAUAUAAAAAGCCACAACCAUCACUUUUUCACAUAUUCUCUCUAAACCCUAACCGACAACUUCAUCUCCUACAUCGGAUCCAUCAUGUAUUCAUCUUCUUCAUUCGUCCUGUAAAUCAAACAAUCCUUAUUUUUCCUUAAUCCUCUGCAUUCCUUCGGAUCAACAAUCAGGUAUAUUUGUAGCGAUUCAUCAUCUACUACAAUUCAAGAAGCUCGUGGCUUAGAUGACAAGAUUUAUGACUGCAAUCACCAUCUUGGCAAUCAAGAACGGUUGGGUACUUUUGAAGAUCAUGAACCAUUAAGGGGAAACAAGCACCUCCACCAUGAAAAUUGAAUGAUAGAAUCAAAUAGUUGCAAAUUUAUCAUGAAGACAAUAAUGCACAGGGAAGGUUCAACUUUCCAUCAAAUGGUCAUCAGUGUUCGAUAAUGGUGAUGACAUGUCACGCUUAUGCUGGAUUGUUGGCAACAGAUGGAGCAGAUCGCAAAGUACAUGUAUGGGAUGUUGACGAUCGUUUUUGUACACGUUCCUUUACGGGUAACAAGGGGUUAUGACAAUAGAGAUUAGGAUCAACUGGGACCUUCAAUCAAUUGGUAGGGUGUUCUCACAAAUUGCUACUGCACAGAGUGAGGCAAG